rnacentral:rRNA from 1 species
UACAGAGGUGGCAAGCGUUGUUCGGAAUUACUGGGCGUAAAGGGCGCGUAGGCGGUCUUGCAAGUCCUGUGUGAAAUCCCUCGGCUCAACUGAGGAACUGCACAGGAAACUGCUUGGCUUGAGUUCGGGAGAGGGAAGCGGAAUUCCGGGUGUAGCGGUGAAAUGCGUAGAUAUCCGGAGGAACACCGGUGGCGAAGGCGGCUUCCUGGACCGACACUGACGCUGAGGCGCGAAAGCUAGAGGAGCGAACGGG